rnacentral:rRNA from 1 species
GAUCAUGGCUCAGGACGAACGCUGGCGGCGUGCCUAACACAUGCAAGUCGAACGGAGAAUUUUAUUUCGGUAGAAUUCUUAGUGGCGAACGGGUGAGUAACGCGUAGGAAACCUACCCUUUAGACGGGGACAGCAUUCCGAAAGGAGUGCUAAUACCGGAUGUGAUCAUCGUGCCGCAUGGCAGGAUGAAGAAAGAUGGCCUCUACAAGUAAGCUAUCGCUAAAGGAUGGG